CUACUGGAAAUGCUGAGACGCGAGACGACAGUCAGCCCAGGUUCAGUUGGUUUGCAGCUGAAAAGAGAACACAUUUUUAAAUAAAUUCAUUGACGUUUUGAAAGUGCUAUUGGGAAAUAACAACCCUUUCCUGUAAGUCUUCUCCAGCUACUACCGCAAAACAUUUUCACCUUUCUCGGCCCGGUCAAUAUCAACCACGCAUUGGCCACACGGUUGUGAAUAUUGAUGUCCCAGAGAUGGAUAUCAUGGAGGAUUUGACGGCAGAAACGGCCAUGGACGGAAACGGAAUGAUUUCCAACUAUCCAAAUAUGUCUCAUUCUCUGGACAACCGAUAUGGACUAUGUAAUCUUUCACGCUAUGCUAGUUUGCCUUUUUGUGCGAACAAAAGCUCUGGGAUAGAGGAAUUCAGACCGGAUUACUCUCAUGGCUUUGCUAUGCAACGCAUCAUUUCUAUAGUGGUUCCAAUCAUAUUUGGAAUUAUUGUUGUAGUUGGGUUUAUUGGCAAUGCUCUGGUUGUGGUUGUUGUUGCGGCAAAUCAGCAGAUGCGCAACACAACAAACUUGCUCAUCAUCAAUUUAGCCCUGGCUGAUCUUUUAUUUAUCGUUUUCUGUGUUCCUUUCACUGCCUCCGACUAUGCUUUACCUUUUUGGCCAUUUGGCGACGCCUGGUGCAAAAUAGUUCAAUACCUAGUGAUUGUAACAGCAUAUGCCAGCGUGUACACUUUGGUUCUUAUGUCGCUUGAUCGCUAUCUAGCUGUCGUUCAUCCAAUUACUUCAAUGUCGAUUCGAACGGAAGUGAACACCUACUGGGCCAUUGCCGUCACUUGGGUUGUUAUCUUCGUGGCCUGUGUCCCAUUGCUAAUGGCGCAUGGAGAAGUUAUGUACCUCUUUGCCGAGGAAGAAUAUUCCGUAUGCGUAUUUCUCCAAAAGGAGGGAUGGAGCUACCAUGUCUUUCAGAUCACUUUUUUUGCAACAUCUUACGUCAUUCCACUAUUACUGAUUUGCGGAUUGUAUAUAUGUAUGCUUAUGCGUUUAUGGAGAGGAGUAGCUCCAGGUGGGCGCGUCUCGGCUGAGAGCCGACGCGGUAAAAAACGUGUCACACGUAUGGUUUGCAUUGUAGUCGUUAUAUUUGCCGUGUGUUGGUGUCCCAUCCAACUUGUUCUAGUUUUAAAGAGUCUGGCCUUGUUCGAGAUCACACCCUUUACAGUCAUGAUACAAAUAAUUUCCCACGUAUUAGCAUAUAUGAAUUCCUGUGUAAACCCCUUUUUGUAUGCAUUGAUAUCCGACAAUUUUCGUAAAGCUUUUCGGAAAAUUGUUUACUGUCGAUCUUUGGGAUUCGCCCUUCCAAGUUGUGAACAGCGCCAUCAACCAAACAACGGCGAAAAGUCAGACAUUCGGCAGCCUCUUUUUACUGGAAAUACAGGCAACACCGGCAAUACUGGUUUCACGGGAAACACCAACAUGAUGAAAUCUACUGUAGUUCACGCUUCUAAUAACGCUGAAGCUGAAGCGAUCGACAUUCUUUAAGCUAUCUGGAACCUGCAAACUCGUCUCCUGUUUUGAUAUCCUUAUCCUCAUUUGAAGCCGGAAAUUUGCAAAACUGCAAGAUACACUUCUUGACUAAAGGAAGUACCUAGGCGAAUGUAUGUUAUAAAAUCUAGGGUAGACCGCUGACCGCUGUUUGUGACAAGGCCGUUUUAUCUUUACGACCACAUUGGCCGUAAAGAUGCGUCAUCCUUUUGAAACUUACCCAACCAAAUCCAAAUGGAUAUACUACUGACCGCAACUAUUGGCAGAUUUUCCAUUUUCGUUCCUUGCAAUUUAUAAAAUAUGUAAUCGUUUCCAGUUGUAAAUACUAGUUCAAGAAUCGUUAAGACCGGUUAAGACACAUGAUUGACUUAACGAAAUAAGUUCGAGAAACAUUCUUUUUAUCAGUUUCCUUCUAUUGAAUCCCAUGAAAUAUUGUUAAUUUAAGACAAAUCACACAGGAAUAGGAUGUUUAAUGAAAAUAAAAUUGAAAACGAAA